GACGAACGCUGGCGGCGUGCUUAACACAUGCAAGUCGAACGGUGAAGCGCCUUCCUUUUUGGUGGGUGUGGAUGAGUGGCGCACGGGUGAGUAACACGUGAGUAACCUGCCCCCUUCUUCUGGAUAACCGCAUGAAAGUGUGGCUAAUACGGGAUAUUCUGGGUCUGUCGCAUGAUGGGUCUGGGAAAGAUAUUGUUUCGGUGGGGGAUGGGCUCGCGGCCUAUCAGCUUGUUGGUGGGGUGAUGGCCUACCAAGGCGGUGACGGGUAGCCGGCCUGAGAGGGUGGACGGUCACACUGGGACUGAGACACGGCCCAGACUCCUACGGGAGGCAGCAGUGGGGAAUAUUGCACAAUGGGCGCAAGCCUGAUGCAGCGACGCCGCGUGAGGGAUGGAGGCCUUCGGGUUGUGAACCUCUUUCGCAAGUGAAGCAGGCCUGCCUCGUUUGUGGGUGGGUUGACGGUAGCUGGAUAAGAAGCGCCGGCUAACUACGUG
rnacentral:rRNA from 1 species